rnacentral:misc_RNA from 1 species
GCUACUACCGAUUGAAUGGUUUAGCGAGAUGCUCGGAUCGGGCCCAGCUCGUGCGAAAGCAUGUGCCGGGACUGAGAAGAAGUUCAAGCUUGAUCAUUUAGAGGAAGUAAAAGUCGUAACAAGGUUUUCGUAGGUGAACAUGCAGAAGGAUCAAGAUCGGAAGAUCACCCUUCUGAACUCCUUUCACUUGGCCUUUUCUCGUUUGCCUUCUUCUGCUUGAUAAUAAAUCUCUCCUUUUUUUUCUUUUUCUCUUCUCCUUUCUUUCUUCUUUUUCUUU